AUGCCAUAAUGAUGAUCCAUAAAAGAAUUAGGUCAAAACUUUUUUAUAUUCCUUUUCUUUGCAACAUUUCCUCUCAUUCUAAACUUUUUGCCACCCUAUAUAAUUUUUUAGAAUUUGCAGAAUAUGGAUUUUGAUUUGUCACUAAUUUGAUAUGAUAUGCUGUCAUCAUGAAAUUCAUGCAUUCAAACUUAUUGACCUUAUGAUGGGAAUUUAGACUUGUUAGCUUUACAAAUUUAGGAUUCCUAUGGGGUUGUUGUGCACUGCUAACUGGUUAUAGACUGUGAAAUCAAAAAAGUUGCACUUUACAAUAAAUAACUGUUUGAAUGGUAUGCUGGAUUCAUGGAUGCUUUUGAAUCAAAAUAAUUACCAGUUUCUGUGUGUUUGUAUUAGUCAUUGUUUGAAUAUGGCUUGCUACAUUGACUUUAGGAGUAGAAAAUAAUUCUUGUGAAAUACCAAUACCUUGAAUUUUAAAAUAUGCGCAUCCAUUAAACUUGAGUUUCAUCACCUCUUAUCUCACAACAUUUCCCCUUUGCUAGAUGGUGGUUGCACUUUUUGGAUGUUCAAGGCUUUUUGCAUGACCUGUAGUAAGAUUGGAGGGUAAUACAGGAGUUGAUGUUUUGUUUCAUACAUAAUGCUAUAUAUAUUUAAUUUAAACCAUUUAGACUCAGUACUUGGUAUAACCAAGCUAACUGAUAUGUUCAAAUCUAUCCACAAACUCUUCAAAUAUAAUCUUACAUAGUUGAUCUAUGUACACAUGUACCAUGUUGUAGCCUCUUCCUGGUCUGCUGGUUCAUCCUACUUGCAUGUUAGCAUAACAACAGUGGUGUGGAUAUGGUAAGUUAUGUUAAUGCUUCAGGAUGCAUGGUGCUUGAUCAGGGUGAGCAGAUCUUGGGUAAGUUCAGUGAGGGAGAUGUGCUGAUAAAUUGACAUGAUAUUUAGAAGAGUAUAUGGAUGGAAGUACUUAGUCAUGUGGUCCAUCUUUGCCUUUAAGCUUAAAUGGUAUUGCAGACAAUUGAGUGGGCCUUUAGAGUGGUAAUUGGAUUUUAUUUAAAGUUUGUAACUGAUAGGGCUUGACCACUAUAAAGAGAAGAGAUGAAUUAAAGAAUUUUGGUUUGUGGGGGGGGGGGGGGGGUUCCAUAAAGGAUCAAUUUUCUUAUUAGGAAUUCAUUAGUGUAUCAUGGAACAUAUUAGUGCAUGGUUUAACCAAUGAGGGAACGAUGCCUUAUACUUUCCUUUUCUAACUUGUGAGGGCUACCCACUUAAGGAAGGGCCUGCCCUCUUAAAUGAGAGCCCCAAUCACUUUGGAGAGUGGAGUGUUAUGCUCUUCAAAAAUCAAGGAGAUAAAAGAGAUGUGUGGCCCUUAGAGGGAAAGGAGAUUGGGAGCUAUAUUAUAAGGGAAACUGGAUGAUGUAUAGUACCUCCAAUGAGAAGUGUAGGAGCAUUUGUCUCUUUUAGGAAGUAUAGAAGAACCUUUUGGAAAUAAAAGGUUUCAAAAGGUGGGAUCUGCUUUUGUACAUUUGGAACUCUAUUUCAGGCAUAGAGAUCUUUCUAAUUCUUUCUAAAUGCUGCUGUUUUCUUUAAUUGAUCAUUGACUAGGCCUCCUGCAGAUCUUUCUGCCAAUCCGAAACAAUCAGACAUGAGGGAACUUCACUUCAAAUUCUGCUAAUUUCAGAUCUAAAAAACCACGGUGGCCUAAUUUUUCAGUUAAACAUGUGCUUUCAGUGCAGCAAGAUCUAUCGCUGGAGCAUCUUUUCCAGGUUGUUUCCAAUAAGGUUACAUAGACACAAAUUGAGUUGAGAACCUUAGACGGCAUCAGUCUCUGGGAAAUAUUUUCAGAUAUUGACCUGUUGAAGGCGAAGAAUGUAUGACAAGAGAGUAAUUUGGUAGUGGCAAAAGUGGAGACCUUCCUUUCUAUCAGAAGAACUAGGGCUUCUAGUAACCAAAAAGUUAAGUCUUCACACAAACAGCCAUAUUGAUGCACAGCAGUUAACUGAUUUCUGAACCAUGCACUGCAGUCCAUUGAUUUUCUAGGCCACAAAAGAAAAGAAACCCUUGCAUGGUUUUUAUUUUUACAGAGAAAAAAGUGAUGGAGAGGUUUCUGCACUGCAUGCAAUUUUGGUCCCCUAGAUUCUAUUGAAAUGGCUUUUUAGCAACAAUUUGUUUGCCAAGCAUUGAUCAAAAGGUGGAAUUCUUUUCACUAUAUUAACAAGUGAUGUGAACAAAUCAUAAUUUCAUAUCAAAUGGUUUCUUGUCUAUGUGGAGAAGAUGAAGUUUCUUUCAAAGAGGAUACCUUCUCAUGGACUAUCAGCAAAUACUAUCUAUUUUUGGUAAGAGCAAAGAUGAUCAAUUAAAAGCCCGUAUCUUCCAUGAAAUGAUGGAAGUUUUGAUAAAUAUAUGGAACAUCUCUUCAAACUAUCCAUGAGGGCUUGUAUCAGUAAAAAAUUCAUUGUUUAUGAUGUUAUUGCUGAAUUAUGCUUUUGAAUGAUGGUGUAGAUAUAUAAGGCGUCUCUGUAGCUAAAAGAGAAGUUGAAAAGGUGAAUUGUCAUUCUCUAGCAUACCUUGGAAGCCACUAUUUGUGCAUCUGGAUUACUUUCGUACCUGAGGCAUCAGAAGCAGGGUUAAAAAUAGCAAGGUGAAGAUUGAGGAGAAUAAAGAUAUGGAAAAAUUGGCAAGUGUUUUUGCAUGGAAAGACAUACGAACAGAGAAUCCAUUUUUUCUUUAUCGAAAGGGGAACAAGUAAAGAAUGAGGAUAGAAUGCAAAAGGCAAUAUUUUGCACACCAGCUGUCCAUCAAUGGUAGCACUGCACAUCAACCAUUGAUAGUAAGAAUCCUACAAACCUUGUUUCUUAGUAGUUUUAAAGUCAACUUCUAAGGUACCUAGAUAGUCAUCCAUACAUCUCUUUAUAUUGAAGGAGGCAAAUAUUAUUGUAAGGAUAUGAUUUUAGUUAAUUUUCUCUGAUAGAGACUUAAUGAGAUGGCAAGUUUAGUUGAGGUCAUAUGCACAUGCUAAUGUGGUUUAUCUUCUUGGGCUGGACAUGUAUCUAUGUCAGGAUCUUUGUGAGAGAGAAAACCUGCAUUUUCCAACAUGAAGCCUGAUAAAUUAUCCCAUGACCAAGGAAAAAGAAGGAUAGGGAGGAAGAAGGCAACAAAAUGGAGGUGGUCCUAUAGAUGUUAAGACAUAUUGUCUGAUUUCAAUGUAGUAGAAAGCGGAUAGUGGGCAUGUAGCGGCAAGGGGUUUCAUAGCGUAUACUCUUAUAGUGGACGCUACAGCCCAAAGCAGGUUGUUAAAAACAUAUCAAUGUUCUUCCAUAAUAAGUACCAAAAAUCAGUGUUUUACAUCAACUGCAUGGAGAAAAGUAUCAUGAAAAAACUAUAGAACAUCAUCAAUAGAACAUCAUAAUAUUAUAUAUAUUUCCAUAUAAUGUAAAAGUCCAAAAUCUAGUAACAAAUAUCAUGAUGCAUCAAACAUAAUAACAUCGCUCACAAGAUAAACAUGUCCAGAAUCACAACAUCAACCAUAAAAUAAAGAUGUCUAUUAUUACAUAGUAUUAAUCAUAAAAGAAAGAUGUCUGAAAUCAUAUAAGGUAACAAAAUGACUAGACCAGCCUGUGCUUUAAUCAACCUCUUGGACUGGCCGAUUACUAGACUGAUUCAAUUGGAAACUAAUCCAGCCCGCUGUGAAAUAAAUCACCUGCUUUGAACCCAUAAUAGCAUAGUGGCCGCUAUUGUGGGUUUUUGCCCCAUAUAGUAGUAGCUUCAUACACAAGCACCAUAUAGCAGUAGCUUCAUACAUAUAGCACUGCCACUGAUAUGAUACCUAGAGUAGUAUUUCAGGCCAAAACCACUAUAGCAGCCACUAUAGGUGGCCAUAGCAGUCGAUUUUUAUAACAAUGUCUAAUUUUUUUACUUAGUUUGAGGCGUUUGAAGUAAUUGAGGUUGAAUUUUUUGUCAUGGUACACAACAAAAGGAUUGCUUCAAACUGAGAUAAAAUGGUGAGAUCUUGUGGUUGUUUUCUAGGGGUUAUUUGUGUUUCCUUUGGUAAUUGAUGGAACUUGCCAACUCUCAUCCUGCACAAACACAAAAUUUUUAGUCCAAGAGGCAGUGUAUAAAAGCUGAAAAGAACCACAAAAUAUGGAUCACAGCAUUUGAGCAGCCACAUGCUCUUUAGAAUAGGAAUCCACCCUUAUUUUGCAUGGGUUACUGUCAUGAUUCUAUCCCUGGGGUCGUACAAGUCCUGUUCAUGUGUGCAUGAUCCUGAAGAACCUUGAGAGCAACCACCAACCAACACUUUAGGACCAUUGCAUUCUGCUGCAAUGAACUUCUGGAUCUGAUUUCCAAAGCAAUUUUAUCACACAAUUGGGUUCCAAAACUUAGAAAUUCAUUGAGAUUAGAUUGGUCCAAUUACCAAGAGGCCUAGAAUCAACAUUUUAUAUCAGUAAGUUAUACUUACCUAAUCAUAGUGUACUUAGCCACUAUAGGUGCCAACAAAUUAAACAGGUUAUCUCACCUAACCCGAGGUGGAGUAAAUGCACCCACUCUAGGUAGUCUAUCGAGGAGCUUAUUGACCUAUCCUAAUUGUUGGAUUUUCAUAGCAAGGCAUGUCUGGGCUCGGUCAAAUGGAUCUAAACAAAAAGAUUCAUGCCAAAUAUUUGGGAAGACUUUGUAUAGUGGCAUAGCGAAAGAUAAGUAACAAAAUUGGCACGACCCUCCCGACUAGGCCCAUCCUAGUUUUGGACAGGCAUGGACAAAGAUUUCUUGUAUAGUUGAUUGGGCUGAGAUUUUCAGGCCCAGUUUAAAACCAAGGUGUAGUUGGGCUUGUCAACGUCUAACAUGACUUAGAAUAACUCGGCUAAUUUAAUUUAUAUAAUGUGUCUUAAACUUAUGGAGUAAAAAAUAUACUGUAUUUUUAAUUUGAAUUUUGACAUAAAAAUUAAACAAGGGAAAGGGAAGUCUUAAAGCCUAGUUUUUAAUCCUAAUGUGUCUCUGACUCCCCUUCCCUUAUGUCUGACAUCUCCCCUUCAAUCCUAGGCUACUUGAUGGCUGCUACUUGUUACCCAUGGGCUAGCUUGUCUCCCACCACCUUUCUUAAUUGACUAAGAGAGGAGAGAGCCAGUGGGGAUUGGCUGGGUCACACCCAUAUUUGAUUGUGCUGAACCUCUACUUGGAUUGAGUCCAGUGUGGAGUUUAGGUGGAGUUCACGUCCAACAUCCUACAAUCUGGAAUCCCAAUAAGAAUAGCCUAGAACCAAGUUAAACUAAGCAAGUUAUAAGAUUAAAUUAAUUCUCAGCAAAUUCACUCAUCAAGCAGAUUUGAAACCAUGACCACUCGAAAACCAAUUCUCUUACUAUUGGAUGACAUGACCAAUUUUGAAAUAUCAUGCAACUGAAAACUUCAACACAGUUCAUUUUGAAACACCAUUUUAACUAAAAUAAUUUCAAAAUCCUUAAUUUUCAUAUAUUGAUUUUGGUCUGUUGGGGAUGAGAACUGAAGUCGGUCAGUUGUCCAUGGGAGACAUGGUGGUCCAUAUGUAAUGGUGAACUAAUGCCUCAAAGUUGCAUUAAUCAUUAUGUUACUGGUCCUUUUGGAUGAGGAUCUCAGAUGGGCUAGCCUUUUUAAGCGAGGGCCACUUGUUAAUCUCCUAUAGAUAAUUUUAUGAAUUUAUAAUUGUUGUUUCCCUCAAAGUUUAAUAGUUGCAGAUCGCACAAUGUGCUGGACCAAAUUCACACAGGAUCCACUUCAGUUAUAGUCCUUUGUUAAUCUCUGCAAGAUUGAGGUUCCAUAAUGUGACCAAGGUAAUUGGAAGACAAAGGCAUCAUGGUUGCUGCGCACAGUGGCUUGGAGACCUUGAUAAUCGAACUAGUAUAUCAUUGAGUAACAAUGUGAUACCGUAUGCAUAAGAUGCUGCUCAUUCGCAGGUUGCCAAGUUCAAUGUCUAAUUUGUGAGACAAUAAAGUAAUCUGUCCUGAAGUGGAUUUAAUAGUAAGAAAGAUUGCUUGCUAA